rnacentral:rRNA from 1 species
UACGGAGGAGGCAAGCGUUAUCCGGAAUUAUUGGGCGUAAAGCGUCCGCAGGUGGCACUUCAAGUCUGUCGUCAAAGACUGGGGCUUAACCCUGGAAAGGCGGUGGAAACUGAAGCGCUAGAGUGCGGUAGGGGUAGAGGGAAUUCCCGGUGUAGCGGUGAAAUGCGUAGAGAUCGGGAAGAACAUCGGUGGCGAAAGCGACCUUCUGGGCUGCAUCUGACACUCUAGUGCGAAAGCGUGGGGAGCAAACAGG